UCCUCACCCUCCUCAUCGUCCGCCGCCUCGUCCUCAUCGCCGGGCUCCCGGAAGAUGGUGGUGUCAGCAGAGAUGUGCUGCUUUUGCUUCGAUGUGCUCUACUGUCACCUGUAUGGAUACCAGCAGCCCCGGACCCCCCGAUUCACCAACGAGCCCUAAUUGACCAGAAUAGCCAGAAGAUGUAUCUGUCUAUCGCAGAUGAUGCCAUGAGGCCAUGACAGAUUUCCUUAUCCACACUAACAUAACGAUAAUCCACAUUGUUACCCAAAGCCACAUGCAGUGCCGGGAGAGCACAGUUGACUGUUUUAUGCAGUAUCCUGCCAGAAGAUGCUGACCAGUUCUCUAGUAAUAGAAAGUAGUGAGAUUGAAUUAAGAGCCUAUAUAGUUCACCUUGCCAUUCGAUAUACUUUCACUGUGAUCUGUAAGCAUAUUACAUACAACUUUAGUAACAUAUUUUCUAGUGAGAUCUUGGAUUGCUGCAAGGUGGUAACAGAUUCUCUGCUUUGCUUCAGGUGUUAGUGGAUCUUUGAGUAAUUCCUAUGGAAUGGAGUCUCUGAAAAAUUGGUUUUGAUGCUGUUAGCCUAGGGGUCCCACAGCACUGUAUCUGCCUCAAAUAAAUGCUUAUGUACUAGUUA
rnacentral:lncRNA from 1 species